AGAGUCUGAUGGAGCAUGCCGCGUGAGUGAAGAAGGUUUUCGGAUCGUAAAACUCUGUUGUUGAAGAAGAACAUAUGUGAGAGUAACUGUUCACGUACUGACGGUAUUCAACCAGAAAGCCACGGCUAACUACGUGCCAGCAGCCGCGGUAAUACGUAGGUGGCAAGCGUUGUCCGGAUUUAUUGGGCGUAAAGAGAAUGUAGGCGGUUUAUUAAGUUUGAAGUGAAAGCCCUCGGCUCAACCGAGGAAGUGCUUCGAAAACUGGUAAACUUGAGUGCAGAAGAGGAAAGUGGAACUCCAUGUGUAGCGGUGGAAUGCGUAGAUAUAUGGAAGAACACCAGUGGCGAAGGCGGCUUUCUGGUCUGUAACUGACGCUGAGAUUCGAAAGCAUGGGUAGCAAACAGGAUUAGAUACCCUGGUAGUCCAUGCCGUAAACGAUGAGUGCUAAGUGUUGGAGGGUUUCCGCCCUUCAGUGCUGCAGCUAACGCAUUAAGCACUCCGCCUGGGGAGUACGAUCGCAAGAUUGAAACUCAAAGGAAUUGACGGGGGCCCGCACAAGCGGUGGAGCAUGUGGUUUAAUUCGAAGCAACGCGAAGAACCUUACCAGGUCUUGACAUACCAUGAAAAGCUUAGAGAUAAGUCUUUCCCUUCGGGGACAUGGAUACAGGUGGUGCAUGGUUGUCGUCAGCUCGUGUCGUGAGAUGUUGGGUUAAGUCCCGCAACGAGCGCAACCCUUAUUAUCAGUUGCCAGCAUUCAGUUGGGCACUCUGGUGAGACUGCCGGUGAUAAACCGGAGGAAGGUGGGGACGACGUCAAAUCAUCAUGCCCCUUAUGACCUGGGCUACACACGUGCUACAAUGGUCGGUACAACGUGCUGCGAACUCGCGAGGGUAAGCAAAUCACUUAAAACCGAUCUCAGUUCGGAUUGUAGGCUGCAACUCGCCUACAUGAAGCUGGAAUCGCUAGUAAUCGCGGAUCAGCAUGCCGCGGUGA
rnacentral:rRNA from 2 species